UACGUAGGGUGCGAGCGUUGCCCGGAUUUAUUGGGCGUAAAGAGCUCGUAGGCGGUUUGUCGCGUCUGCUGUGAAAAACUCGGGGCUUAACCCCGGGCCUGCAGUGGGUACGGGCAGACUAGAGUGAGGUAGGGGAGACUGGAAUUCCUGGUGUAGCGGUGAAAUGCGCAGAUAUCAGGAGGAACACCGGUGGCGAAGGCGGGUCUCUGGGCCGUAACUGACGCUGAGGAGCGAAAGCGUGGGGAGCGAACAGG
rnacentral:rRNA from 1 species